GCCGGGCGCGGUGGCUCACGCCUGUCAUCCCAGCACUUUGGGAGGCCGAGGCGCGUGGAUCAUUUGAGGUCAGGAGUUCGAGACCAGCCUGGCCAACGUGGUGAAAUCCCGUCUCUACCAAAAAUACAAAAAAUUAGCCAAGCGUGGUGACAGGCGCCUGUAAUCCCACAUGGCUAAUUUUUUGUAUUUUUGGUAGAGACGGGAUUUCACCACGUUGGCCAGGCUGGUCUCGAACUCCUGACCUCAAAUGAUCCACGCGCCUCGG
rnacentral:SRP_RNA from 1 species